rnacentral:rRNA from 1 species
UACGUAGGGUGCGAGCGUUGUCCGGAAUUAUUGGGCGUAAAGAGCUUGUAGGCGGUUUGUCGCGUCUGCUGUGAAAAUCCGGGGCUCAACCCCGGACUUGCAGUGGGUACGGGCAGACUAGAGUGUGGUAGGGGAGACUGGAAUUCCUGGUGUAGCGGUGAAAUGCGUAGAUAUCGUCUGGAACGCCAAAGGUGAAAAACAGCUCGCUGGGGUUGUGCUGACGCUGAGACACGAAAGCCAGGGGGGGCGAACGGG